GACGUAGGGCGCGAGCGUUGUCCGGAUUUAUUGGGCGUAAAGAGCUCGUAGGCGGCUUGUCGCGUCGUUCGUGAAAACCCACAGCUCAACUGUGGGCUUGCGGUCGAUACGGGCAGGCUAGAGUUCGGUAGGGGAGACUGGAAUUCCUGGUGUAGCGGUGAAAUGCGCAGAUAUCAGGAAGAACACCAAUGGCGAAGGCAGCUCUCUGGGACGGUACUGACGCUGAGACGCGAAAGCGUGGGGAGCGAACAGG
rnacentral:rRNA from 1 species